UUCCACAUGCGCCUUGCAGAUGGACUCUCAGGCAGCCCCUGCUGAUCAGCUUGGAGAAUGACAAACUCUCUGGCUUUGGAACUGACCCAUACUAUGCUGCUCCUGGCCGGCGCUGUGGGUGCCGCCGUUGGGGCUCACAGUCUCCACUACAACCUCACAGUGAGGUCCCAAGGUGGAUCAGUGCAAUCAAGGUCCUUCGCUGAGGGUUACUGGGACCAUCAGCUCUUCCUUCAGUAUGAUAGUGACAAUCAAGGAAGUGCAGAGCCCUGGGGGCCAUGGGCAGAAAAACCUCUGGGAACUGAGAACUGGAACACAGAGAUGCAGGACUUGGCAGAGCACAUCAAGAAGUUAAAAAUGACCCUGGCAGAUAUCAAUGCCUGGCAGGAGCAGAAAGGAGGAUCUCAUUCCCUCCAGGAGAUUUGGGGCUGUGAGAUGCAAGAGGACAACUGCACCAGAGGCUUCUGGAAUUUCCACUAUGAUGGGGAACUCUUCAUCUCCUAUAAUCCAGAGACACACAGUUGGAUGGUGCACCCAUCAUCCACUCAGACCUUGGCUAUGAAAGUCAAGAAUUCCUGGGAUGCAGAUGGCAUGCAAAGCAAGGAUUACUGGGUCCUUCUGCAGGAAGAGCUUUGUGGAAAACUCCAGAGAUAUCUAUUCUCCUGGAAGGGCUCCUCCCACUCCCCUGGAGCCUCUGCCCUGAAUACCUUGUGAGUUCUCAACUGGAUAGGUCAGUGACCAUGGUGGUGAGAGAGGAGAGACCUUGAAGCUCUGGUACCCAGAGUGUAACAAGCCUGUUUUCAGGGACUGGUCUGCUGCUUCAGAGUCGAAGGCCUGCCUGCCUAUGUGUAGCUGCUGGUGGUGUUGCUGUGAUUAUGAUUAUUGUUUGUGUCCUUUGGUGCAAGAAGAGGAAAACAACAUCAGCUACAGAAGAUUUCGGUUGUGAGAAUACAAGUCCUUCAUCAGCAUUAGAGGUCACCAAGUGACCACCUGGAACUGCUCAACUGGGGUUUCUGCCUCUGCUGAAAGCUCUGGAGCUUCUCAGGGAACUUAGACUUGCAGCCCUGCUCUGACCAGUACUUUCUCUCUUGCUGCCUUGGUUUCUCAUCUCUACAAUGUUAAAAGACAGGUUUAUUAACUUUGGAGUGGGUGGGAUUAAAAGGGUUAAUACGUUUGAGGUGCUUGCAGCUCUCAUGUACUAGUUAUCCUCAUUAUUUUAUUGUAUUUUAACAAAUUACUUAUAUAAUUAUUAUAUUUUAAUAAAUGAGAU